rnacentral:misc_RNA from 1 species
ACGGCGAUGUCUAACGCAGGUACCCACGAUAUCCUUCGGCCUGGUCACACAACGUGACCCACUUACUUGCGACAGCAUUCGUUGCACGGACACACGCGCGAUCGUUGGCGCGAGGUACCUCGAGGUACGCUCCCGUGCGUCGCGCGUGUUGCGUAUAACUCGAUUCUUUUGGGAUGCUCGUCUCGGGAAUGCUGAUUGCAAACUACUUUCACGCCGAGAGGAAUUCAUCCAGCGGUGGUUGCAGCCGAAAAUUCGCACUGGAAGACGCGAUCGAUUACUCGACUCGAUGGAUCUACGAUGACGGACAAUUAUCAAGAUAACAUUACAUUCACGAUACCACAAGCGACGCUUCGAAAACGAUCCAUCAGAACCACGAAAGAGAGCAGUGAAAUCAUUAAAAUGGCUCCGUAUGAUUACGUUGAAUUAUUGUUCACGACAUAUUGUUCGCUAUGGAAGCAACCGGAAAAACGGUGUUUCGCGAGCUGAUUGCAGAGGUCGGAUACCCUCGCGAACCGCGAUGCAAAUCUGAACUCGCGGUGCGAUUCUGUAACACGAG